UGGGGAAUAUUGGACAAUGGGCGAAAGCCUGAUCCAGCCAUGCCGCGUGUGUGAAGAAGGUCUUCGGAUUGUAAAGCACUUUAAGUUGGGAGGAAGGGCAGUAAGCGAAUACCUUGCUGUUUUGACGUUACCGACAGAAUAAGCACCGGCUAACUCUGUGCCAGCAGCCGCGGUAAUACAGAGGGUGCAAGCGUUAAUCGGAAUUACUGGGCGUAAAGCGUGCGUAGGCGGCUGAUUAAGUCGGAUGUGAAAUCCCUGAGCUUAACUUAGGAAUUGCAUUCGAUACUGGUCAGCUAGAGUAUGGGAGAGGAUGGUAGAAUUCCAGGUGUAGCGGUGAAAUGCGUAGAGAUCUGGAGGAAUACCGAUGGCGAAGGCAGCCAUCUGGCCUAAUACUGACGCUGAGGUACGAAAGCAUGGGGAGCAAACAGG
rnacentral:rRNA from 1 species